AGAGGUUUCCAGAGCCCAAGGACAAUGCCCACUCCUUGUAGAAUAUAAAAAGUGGGGAGAGAAUCCACCAAACCUUUUUUUUUUUUAAAGAUUUUAUUUUUUCCUUUUUCUCCCCAAAGCCCCCCAGUAUACAGUUGUAUAUCCUUCGUUGUGGGUCCUUCUAGUUGUGGCAUGUGGGACGCUGCCUCAGCGUGGUUUGAUGAGCAGUGCCACGUCGGCGCCCAGGAUUCGAACCAACGAAACACUGGGCCGCCUGCAACGGAGCGCGCGAACUUCACCACUCGGCCACGGGGCCAGCCCCCAUCCACCAAACCUUUUGAUUUCACAGAGAUAGAUGUUUACUUACAAUGGAAGACAACAAAAGCCAGAAUGGCAACAGACUUAGGAAAUGCCACGUUCUCUCGAGGAGCCAGGCCGGCCUCUGGAGGAUGCCUGACGGGGCCCUGUGAGGAAGAACUGGUUGAUGGGCAGCAUCGCACGUGACAAAGAGAACCCCGAAGAGAUCCCCUGCUUUCCUUUGGGGAGAUGAAAGAGAGCCAGGGAACCCGAGACUUCUCC
rnacentral:lncRNA from 1 species